UACAUAGGGGGCAAGCGUUAUCCGGAAUUAUUGGGCGUAAAGCGCAUGUAGGCGGCCAUGUAAGUCGGAUGUGAAAUCCCGAGGCUCAACUUCGGAACUGCAUCCGAGGCUGCAUGGCUUGAGGAAGGUAGAGGAGAGUGGAAUUCCCGGUGUAGCGGUGGAAUGCGCAGAUAUCGGGAGGAUCACCAGCGGCGAAGGCGGCUCUCUGGGCCUCUCCUGACGCUGAGAUGCGAAAGCGUGGGUAGCGAACAGG
rnacentral:misc_RNA from 1 species